GUGGGCUGAAGUUAGGCUGGGGCUGGGAUUGACAGGUGGGAGCUGGGGUGGAACCUACUGUGAUUGGAGAUGUGGCCACAAGAGGGCGCUAUGCUCCCGCUACAGCCGUUCUAGUGAUUUCAUAGGGAGACUGUCCUGAGCGCACACAAUCACUGCCUUCUCAUUACAGACAAAUCACAGUCCCUCCUCUGUAACCCAGGCACUGCCAUCCACAACCGCAUCCCCACCCUGUGUACACAAAAUCCCUGUUAGUCAUACUCUCACUCAUAUAUGCUGCCGGCAGGCCUGCUGUCUCCUCUACAGGCAUGCGGUCCCUGCCUCACCCAAGCGUUAUUCAGCUCCUUUCAUUUUCCUGAGCAUUUUUUCCACACCAGGCCCCCGGCAGGAUGCUGGGGCUGCAGAGGGGGUAGGAGCUGAGCUCAAGAAGCUCAGAGCCCGGGGGAGACAGAAACAAACUCUUCUGCAUUAACAGCCCUCUGGGUGGCUCAGCCUCUCUCCCAGCAUUGUGUGAGGACCUGAAACUUAGGCGACACCAACAUCAAGGCCCGACCAGGAUGGGAAGCAGAAGAGGUACAAAGGCUAUACUACCUGGAGGAACAUUUAGUGACUAUUAAAGCUGAGGCCAGGAGCCAGAAAUCCAGGAGGCAGCCAGAGCCAAUGCAGGCGGGGAGAGGUCAGACCAUCGUGCAGACACCACAGGCUGUGAUUCACCUUUGCUCUCAAGUGUGGCCGUUGGUGAGAUGGAUAAGCCAGCCAAGUUUAAGGUCCCUGGGCAGGGCUGCUAUCCACCCCCAGGUGUGAAUCAUGGCUUAACCACUUCCGGAUCACAGCUUCACCGUGGCAAGCUUUCAGAAUCUCUGUCUUGUCACCAAUACAAUGGGAACCGUAUCAAUCAGGGUCCUGGCAGGAAACAGAUGACACAGUCAAACCAAAUAAUGUCAAAGAGUUUCCCGGAGGGGCUGUUUUAAAAGGUGUGGGCAUGAUUAAGGAAACCCACGAAUCCUGGGGUAACUUCAGUAUCCUGGGGCUAGUACCAGAGUAGCAAUGGACGGGGUUACUACACAGGUGCUCCAUCCAACCAUAGCAACCAAAUAAAUUCCCCAACUUCACUCUCCCAUCUCCUGCUCACCUGCUGGUGGCUCCCACUGACCCAACCCAACCACAGGCCAGAGAUCCAGGAGGCCGUGAGCCUCCCAAGGCACAAGGCUGGGUGGAGAGGGGGGAAGAGUAGACCAGAGGGGCAAAGGGAACAUAUUCGUCCCAGCACUCAGGACAUACCUAGGAUUGUUGUAGAGGUAAAAGGAGGCACUGCGGGUAAGGCAUUAGCACAGCGCUAACAACAUAGCCAGUGACUAUCCGAGUGCCACCAUGCUCAGGAAAGUCUCUGCCUGCUCCCCAGGCCACAUGGUACCUCAGCCCCAGCUUAGAUGGGAUGGUUGCAAAGGUCUUAGGGAGAAGGGAUCUCUACCUAUCUGCCACCAUGCAUUCCAGCAUCUUCCAGGACAUUCUGGCUGCCUGGCCAAGGAUGGCUUAGAGAUCAGAGCAAUCAGGGCACAUCAUUGGCUAUCCCAGAAUGGACUGAGCUUCCAGCCCAACCCUGCUUCUCCAGGGUGCAGGCCAGGACCAUGGAUGAGGGACAUUCCAGUCCUGGACAUCCUGCCUUGGGCCUGGGAGCUAUUUUGAGCAUCACAGCUUACUGUUCUCAUCCAGUAUGUGCUGGGCUAAUGUUCAUCACCCAGAGUCCCGCAGUGCACAUCACUGUCAUCAGAAGAUAGCCCUCAUGUCCCCUUGGCUUUCUCUACUCAGGGUACACAUCUCUAUUUCCUCCUCCCUCAAUUGCAUGAGCUUCCUUCAGUUGUGCAUCUGAUAGAUUUCAAUUUCAUAUACACAGCCUCCGAGCCCACAUCUACUGAAAGAAGUAACAGCCACCCGGCAGCCCUAGAAGAGACAAGAGAAGGAUGAGGAUAGGUUGAGAAGACAGCCCUGUGUAAACCAGGAGGAGGGCAGUCUCCAAGAACCCAACUAUGCAGGUUCCCUGGUCUCACUCCAGCCUCCGGAAAUAGGUGGGCAACCUAUUUCUCUAAGCCCCCCAGUCUGUACUAUUCUGUUACAGCAGCCUAAGACCUCCUCAUCAGCUCUCACCUGGAUUACAGCCACAGUCUCCCUCCUGCAGGCCCCUGAUCCUGGAAAGCAGACACUGGGGAAGAGUUAAGAGUGCAAAGGGUCAAUGUAAAACUUUAGACAAUAAAAAAAUAAAUAAA